rnacentral:rRNA from 1 species
UUACGGGAGGCAGCAGUGGGGAAUAUUGCACAAUGGGCGAAAGCCUGAUGCAGCGACGCCGCAGUGAGGGAUGACGGCCUUCGGGUUGUAAACCUCUUUCAGUAGGGAAGAAGCGAAAGUGACGGUACCUGCAGAAGAAGCGCCGGCUAACUACGUGCCAGCAGCCGCGGUAAUACGUAGGGCGCAAGCGUUAUCCGGAAUUAUUGGGCGUAAAGAGCUCGUAGGCGGUUGUCGCGUCUGCCGUGAAAGUCCGGGGCUCAACUCCGGAUCUGCGGUGGGUACGGGCAGACUAGAGUGAUGUAGGGGAGACUGGAAUUCCUGGUGUAGCGGUGAAUGCGCAGAUAUCAGGAGGAACACCGAUGGCGAAGGCAGGUCUCUGGGCAUUACUGACGCUGAGGAGCGAAAGCAUGGGGAGCGAACAGGAUAGAUACCUGGUAGCCAUGCCGUAACGUUGGGCACUAGGUGUGGGGACAUUCCACGUUUCCGCGCCGUACUAACGCAUAAGUGCCCGCCUGGGAGACGGCCCAAGCUAAACUCAAGGAAUGACGGGGCCGCACAGCGGCGGACAUGGGAUAAUUCAUGCACGCGAAGAACUUACCAGGUUGAAUGAACGGAACACUGGAACAGGGCCCGCUGCGGCGGUUACAGUGUGAUGUUGUCUCACUCGGUCGUGAAUGUGGGUAAGUCCCCACGAGCCACCUCGUCAUGUGCAGCCGUAUGCGGGAUCAUAGAAAUGCCGGGCAAUCGAGGAGGGGGCCACGCAAUCUCUGCCCUAUGCUGGGUCAGCUGCAAAUGGCGGACAAGGUGGAACUGGAGGGGGUAUCCAAAGCCGUCCAUCGAUGGGCUGACCACCCUGAGCGAUCCUGAACGAAACAACUCGGAAAUUCCGGCUGAACCCCCUAAUCAAAUGGAACCAACGGGCACCCUGGGGGGUCAGGGGGUGAAAUAUAAAAAAACGAAAAAAAAAACCAACCCGGGGGGGGGGGGGGGGGGGGAGGGAAAACGACGUCCAAAAAAACCCC